rnacentral:rRNA from 1 species
GACGUAGGGCGCGAGCGUUGUCCGGAUUUAUUGGGCGUAAAGAGCUCGUAGGCGGUUUGUCGCGUCUGCUGUGAAAACCCGAGGCUCAACCUCGGGCCUGCAGUGGGUACGGGCAGACUAGAGUGCGGUAGGGGAGAUUGGAAUUCCCGGUGUAGGCGGAUGAAAUGCGCAGAUAUCGGGAGGAACACCGGUGGCGAAGGCGGUUCUCUGGGCCUGUACUGACGCUGGAGGAGCGAAAGCGUGGGGGAGCGAACAGG